rnacentral:rRNA from 1 species
GAUGAACGCUGGCGGCGUGCCUAAUACAUGCAAGUCGAGCGAACGGACGAGAAGCUUGCUUCUCUGAUGUUAGCGGCGGACGGGUGAGUAACACGUGUAUAACCUACCUAUAAGACUGGGAUAACUUCGGGAAACCGGAGCUAAUACCGGAUGAUAUUUUGAACCGCAUGGUUCAAAAGUGAAAGACGGUCUUGCUGUCACUUAUAGAUGGAUCCGCGCUGCAUUAGCUAGUUGGUAAGGUAACGGCUUACCAAGGCAACGAUGCAUAGCCGACCUGAGAGGGUGAUCGGCCACACUGGAACUGAGACACGGUCCAGACUCCUACGGGAGGCAGCAGUAGGGAAUCUUCCGCAAUGGGCGAAAGCCUGACGGAGCAACGCCGCGUGAGUGAUGACGGUCUUCGGAUCGUAAAACUCUGUUAUUAGGGAAGAACAUAUGUGUAAGUAACUGUGCACAUCUUGACGGUACCUAAUCAGAAAGCAACGGCUAACUACGUG